rnacentral:rRNA from 1 species
GAUGAACGCUGGCGGCGUGCCUAAUACAUGCCAGUCGAGCGAACAGAUGAGGAGCUUGCUCCUCUGACGUUAGCGGCGGACGGGUGAGUAACACGUGGAUAACCUACCUAUAAGACUGGGAUAACUUCGGGAAACCGGAGCUAAUACCGGAUAAUAUAUUGAACCGCAUGGUUCAAUAGUGAAAGACGGUUUUGCUGUCACUUAUAGAUGGAACCGCGCCGCAUUAGCUAGUUGGUAAGGUAACGGCUUACCAAGGCAACGAUGCGUAGCCGACCUGAGAGGGUGAUCGGCCACACUGGAACUGAGACACGGUCCAGACUCCUACGGGAGGCAGCAGUAGGGAAUCUUCCGCAAUGGGCGAAAGCCUGACGGAGCAACGCCGCGUGAGUGAUGAAGGUCUUCGGAUCGUAAAACUCUGUUAUUAGGGAAGAACAAAUGUGUAAGUAACUAUGCACGUCUUGACGGUACCUAAUCAGAAAGCCACGGCUAACUACGU